rnacentral:tRNA from 1 species
UCCUUGGUAUCUUAGUGGUAGAGUGGUUGGCUAUUAACUGAUUGUUCGUAGAUUUGAAUCUUACUCGAGGAG